UAAUACGGAGGGUGCAAGCGUUAAUCGGAAUUACUGGGCGUAAAGCGCACGCAGGCGGUCUGUCAAGUCGGAUGUGAAAUCCCCGGGCUCAACCUGGGAACUGCAUCCGAAACUGGCAGGCUAGAGUCUUGUAGAGGGGGGUAGAAUUCCAGGUGUAGCGGUGAAAUGCGUAGAGAUCUGGAGGAAUACCGGUGGCGAAGGCGGCCCCCUGGACAAAGACUGACGCUCAGGUGCGAAAGCGUGGGGAGCAAACAGG
rnacentral:rRNA from 1 species